GUCAAGUACAAAGAGCAUCGGGUGGAUGCCUUGGCACUGGGAGCCGAAGAAGGACGUGAUAAGCUGCGAUAAGCUGCGGUAAGGAGCACAUAUCCGAUAUACCCGCAGAUUUCCGAAUGGGGGAACCCACAUACGGUAAUGCGUAUGUAUCAUUAAGUGAAUACAUAGCUUAAUGAAGGGAACGGGGUGAACUGAAACAUCUAAGUAGCCCUAGGAAGAGAAAGAAAAAUCGAUUUCCUGAGUAGCGGCGAGCGAAAGGGAAAGAGGCCAAACCAAAUUGUUUACAGUUUGGGGUUGUGGACCACCGACAUUGACGAAGUUAUGCGAGCCGAAUAGGGUUGGAAAGCUCAAGCAGAGAAGGUAAUACUCCUGUAGGCGAAGCAGAAAGCGCAUAGGUGGCACCAGAGUAGGACCGGACACGUGUAACCCGGUCUGAAGCAGGAGGGACCACCCUCCAAGCCUAAAUACUACCCAGUGACCGAUAGCGAAUAGUACCGUGAGGGAAAGGUGAAAAGAACCCCGGGAGGGGAGUGAAAUAGAAUCUGAAACCUGAUGCUUACAAGCAUAGGGAGCGCAAGUGACCUAGUACUUUUUGUAGAACGGGCCAACGAGUUAUGGUAUGUAGCGAGGUUAAGUUGCUGGAGCAACGGAGCCGUAGAGAAAUCGAGUCUGAAUAGGGCGAGAGUUACAUGCUGUAGACCCGAAACCGGGUGACCUAUCCAUGAGCAGGUUGAAGUAACCGUAAAAGGUUAUGGAGGACCGAACCUAUAUCUGUUGAAAAAGGUUAGGAUGACUUGUGGAUAGCGGUGAAAUUCCAAUCGAACUCGGAUAUAGCUGGUUCUCCUCGAAAUAGCUUUAGGGCUAGCCUCAAGGUAAAGAUACACGGGGGUAGAGCACUGACUGUUCGCGGGGCCUUCACCGGUUACCAACAACUAUCAAACUCCGAAUACCGUGCUAUCAUACUUGGGAGUCAGACUAUGAGAGAUAAGUUCCAUGGUCGAAAGGGAAACAGCCCAGAUCAACAGCUAAGGUCCCAAAGAGUAAGUUAAGUGGAAAAGGAUGUGGGAUUGCACAAACAGCUAGGAUGUUGGCUUAGAAGCAGCCAUACAUUUAAAGAGUGCGUAAUAGCUCACUAGUCGAGUGAUCCUGCGCCGAAGAUAAACGGGGCUCAAACUUACCACCGAAGCUUUGGAAUUAGUAUAACUAAUUGGUAGAGGAGCAUUCUAUACAGGUAGAAGGAGGCGCGUAAGCAAAUCUGGACGGUAUAGAAGAGAGAAUGUUGGCAUGAGUAGCGUAAGGCGGGUGAGAAUCCCGUCCGCCGAAAAUCUAAGGUUUCCUGAGGAAGGUUCGUCCUCUCAGGGUAAGUCGGGACCUAAGCCGAGAGCGAACGCUGUAGGCGAUGGACAACAGGUUGAUAUUCCUGUACCACCAAGGAUUGUUUGAAUGAAGUGGGGACACAGAAGGAUAGAUUGAGCACGCCGUUGGUUGAGCGUGUCCAAGCAGCAAGGCUUGAAAGUAGGCAAAUCCGCUUUCUACAAGGCUGAGCUGUGAUGGGGUGGUCGAAUGACCGGUAGCAAUCGAUUUCACGCUGUCAAGAAAAGCCGCUAAUGAGAUCCAAGGUGCCCGUACCGCAAACCGACACAGGUAGAUGAGGAGAGAAUCCUAAGGUGAGCGAGAGAACUAUUGUUAAGGAACUCGGCAAAAUAACCCCGUAACUUCGGGAGAAGGGGUGCCUGCUUCGGCAGGCCGCAGUGAAGAGGUCCAGGCAACUGUUUACCAAAAACACAGGUCUCUGCUAAAGCGAAAGCUGAUGUAUAGGGGCUGACGCCUGCCCGGUGCUGGAAGGUUAAGGGGAAGUGUUAGGGCAACCGAAGCACAGAACUUAAGCCCCAGUAAACGGCGGCCGUAACUAUAACGGUCCUAAGGUAGCGAAAUUCCUUGUCGGGUAAGUUCCGACCCGCACGAAAGGCGUAAUGAUCUGGGCACUGUCUCAACAAUAGACUCGGUGAAAUUGUAGUACCGGUAAAGAUGCCGGUUACCCGCAGCAGGACGGAAAGACCCCGUGGAGCUUCACUGUAGCUUGAUAUUGAUUUUCGGCAUUGCAUGUACAGGAUAGGUGGGAGACGUUGAGUUCAGCACGCCAGUGUUGGAGGAGUCACCGUUGGGAUACCACCCUUGUAAUGUUGGAAAUCUAACCUAGUACCGUGAUCCGGUACAGGGACAGUGUCAGGUGGGCAGUUUGACUGGGGCGGUCGCCUCCUAAAGAGUAACGGAGGCGUUCAAAGGUUCCCUCAGAAUGG
rnacentral:rRNA from 1 species